rnacentral:lncRNA from 10 species
CUUCCUUUUUCUCUGUGCAUCCUCAGUGACGCGGGGCACAGCUCUGCCCGGGGGCCUACCAGAGCCCACCUGGACCCCACACUGGGUCAGCCCUGGUGCGGAGGAGGCCGCUGUAGGCGCGGCCAGGUCACAGUCGGCACCAGAAGUUUGGCAGAUCUCAGUGAGGCGUUAGUUUGCAUUUCCUUGUGACGGGUUUUGACUGGAAUGCCAGGCUUAACGUUGCUCAGAAGUUGCUUCUAUGAGGACGUCUCCCAGCAGCUGUCAGUGUUUCCAAUGAGUCAUCGCCAGCCCCUGCAAUGAGCCUCUCAGGCUGGAACAGUACAACAUGAGGAAGCAGAAUCAAUGCACAGAAAUUAAGCUAAUGUCUUCAGUCUUUGCAACACCACUUGAGCAGCUUGACCAAGUCACUCAUGCCUAGUGGCCCCGUUAGUUGCUCUUCUCCCAUCAAUGAGCUUUGGAAUUUUCGUCAGUAGCUGCCUAUGCAUUACUCAUGGAUCAGAGAGCAGAAAGAAACCAGACAUUGCCAAGUCCCACCUAGGUAGCUACACAGGGAGCCCUGUAUUGACCAUGGCCCAG